rnacentral:lncRNA from 1 species
CAUGUUUUAGAACCGUAUCUGGGAUUUCGUAGAGGCUCCACUCUUGCUCAGGGUGACAGGCAUCUGUGUGGUUGCUACUCUUGGUAUCUAUGGUGCCAGCAAAGACAAGAAGUGGCCCCUGAUAGCGUAUAUUACAGCCAAUGUGAUUGGUGUGAUCAUGUUUCUGAUUCAAGGGACGCUGUUUGUCAAGGCAAAAACACUGGUAUGUACUCUAAGACACUUAACCUUCGUUGACACUUACCUUUCAUUAUCAUAACACCUUUUUGAGUAAAGCAAAACAUAUUCAUACAUAUCUACUGUAUUAUUAUUAUAUACUAUGAUUCAUACAC